CGAAGUGUACCUCAGCUUGAAACCCCCCAAAACAAAGUCUAUGUUUUAGGAUAACCUCCACACGUCAAAGAGUUCAUUUUAAAACAUAGACAUAAAGAUAUAAAAUCAUUUUAGUUUUUUUUUUUAUUAAUUACUUUUCUGGUGGUCGCCAUAAAUUAUGACAGUAUUUUGGUUGCUAAUUAAACUUUUGUGGUAAUUUUUCAAACGGUAAAAAGGCAGACAUAAAUGUUUUCAUUUAAAUUCAAAGUCAAAUAAAUCCAACACUCUUAUUAAAAAGUGGUAAUUUCCUAUUAAAAAGGUGAUUUAUGUGCUUUUUUUUAAACAGAUGGUGCGUGUUCUACAAAUGAUUUCCUCUUUUUUUGGUAGUUCUGAUCCCAUGGAUGCUGAAUGUUUGGUCUGGUUGCAGGUGACUUGUUUUCUCAUGCAGCUGCAGCUGCAUGGUGGAGGAGUGAACUCCUUCAAGCACGAGCACGAGCUCCGUCAGUGAGGAGAAACGCGUUUGUUCCGUCUCCUGUGCGUCUGCAGAUUCACCCGCCAUGCCCCCUGUUCACGCACAAGGAGGGCUGAAUCACGCAAACCCUGCGGGAAGGUGGUGGCGCUGCUAUGAAGGAGAGGGAAAGAGAUAAAGAUGGAGUCUGCGUCGGAUCCGAUCCAGAAGCCUCACCGUAAAUCAUUGCCAGCCCGGUUUCGUGGAGGAACCGAACCCGUCUGUGCUUGAAGAGCCAAAUGUCCCGGUGCCGCGCUUAAGAGGAUCCAGGCGGGGGCCGCCGCCCGCAGCGCGGCGUUCGCUCCGCUCCGCCUCGGCUGUAGAGCCUCCAUGGUCCGCGGUGAUGAUGCUCCUGCUGGACUCCGCGUCUAUGCCAUGUCACUGCUGGGAAAUAAGGUCCCACGUACGCACAGCUGAGCCAAACACGGGCCGGCGAGUCCAGCCUCUUAAAGGAACACGGCGAGGCGAGCGCAGCGCUGUGCGUAAAGUUAGACUCACGGUCGGAUUCACACUUCCGGGAUCAACAGCUCAGAAACUAAACGUUUGUACCAGGAAGGGAGGAUCUCUUUCACUUUUAAAGUUUGACUGAAUAAAAUAAAAGCUUUAUUUUUUAUUUUUAA